GACGAACGCUGGCGGCGUGCCUAAUACAUGCAAGUCGAACGAGAGCAACCGGUGCUUGCACUGGUCAAUCUAGUGGCGAACGGGUGAGUAACACGUGGGUAACCUGCCCAUCAGAGGGGGAUAACAUCCGGAAACGGAUGCUAAAACCGCAUAGGUCUUCGAACCGCAUGGUUUGAAGAGGAAAAGAGGCGCAAGCUUCUGCUGAUGGAUGGACCCGCGGUGCAUUAGCUAGUUGGUGAGGUAACGGCUCACCAAGGCCGUGAUGCAUAGCCGACCUGAGAGGGUGAUCGGCCACAUUGGGACUGAGACACGGCCCAAACUCCUACGGGAGGCAGCAGUAGGGAAUCUUCCGCAAUGGACGCAAGUCUGACGGAGCAACGCCGCGUGAGUGAAGAAGGUUUUCGGAUCGUAAAACUCUGUUGUUAGAGAAGAACAAGUGCUAGAGUAACUGUUAGCGCCUUGACGGUAUCUAGCCAGAAAGCCACGGCUAACUACGUG
rnacentral:rRNA from 1 species